CUGCUCCAAAGCAGCAGAGCUCCUGCCACAGGGUGCCUGCAGGAGCUGAAACUGCAGCUGUACCUGCUCCAAAACAGCAGAGCUCCUGUCACAGGGUGCCCGCAGCACUGCUCAGCUGCAGCCCCAGCAGCGCGGCAGAGCAGCGAGGGACACGAGGGACACGCUGCUCCCGCACACCUCUGCCUGGCCACGGCUCACUGCGGUGAGUACAGGGGAAGCAUCGCUACAAGAGAAACUCUGGAAUGCAUUUCCAAAGGGAACUGCUAUUCCCUCCAAGAAAUCUUACUGCAUGCAGGGCUCACAACACUCCCAAAUCAAGAAAGUAUGGGCAAACUUAUCCCAGCAAGGUGGACAUUUUUGUCUGGAUCCUUCAAGUUCUGGAGAAAAAGAGAAAUUUACAGUGAACAAGUUUUGGAGAAUGUGAAGAGCUUGCAGGACUGUGCUGCUUUGGGAUGAUCAAACUCCAAACAGGAAAAAGUGGAUACUGGUAUUACACAAGUUAUAUUUUCCACAGUGAGUGUACAGUUAGCACCUAAGGGUGCAGUAUCUUCAGAAUAAACCGAUUUUUUUGAACAGACACAAGAUGGAGUCCAGUCCCACUUGCUGACAGUCAUUAAGUGUUGUGGCCUUUGUCAACACAACAUUGUGGUGAGUUGACCUUGGCUGGCUGCUCUCCCACUCACGCUCCACAAAAGGAACUGCACAGGGGAGAAUGAAGUGAAAAACCCCAGGUAUUAAAAUAAAGACAAGCAGAUCAUUUACAAAUUACUCUAAUGGGCAAAAUAGACUCACUUCAGGAAAAAUAACUUACUGCCAAUUAAAACAGAAUUGGAAGGUAAAAAACAUAAAUCCUAGAAGAAUUUUCCCUCUGCCUCCUUGCUCCAACAGUGUGAACUUCACUGUUCACACUCAACUCCUACACCUCCACCCCCAACAAGAGGCAUGGGGAGGGUGGGGAAUGGGGCUGGCAUCAGAUCAUUGCUGCUCUUUGCCACUCCUUCCUCCUGUUUUUCCCUUGGUCCAUCAUGUGUCCCUCACACAGGCUGUGAAGCUUUGGGAUAAAGUUGCUCCAGCGUGGCCUUUGCAGUGCCUCUCCCUGAAGGAACAUUCACUUUCUCCAGGCUGGAGUCCCCCAGGGCUGCAGGCUGGGUAUCUGCUCUGGCACUGUCCUCCCCUAUGGACUGCAGGGAAACCCCUGCUGCAGCAUGGCCUGUCCCACAGCUUCCAGGGAGCUUCUGGAACCUGCAGCCCUCCUUGCACUCCUGUUUCCCUGGCCCUGGAGGCAGAGCUGUUUCUCACAGCCUCUCACAGAGUGCUCCUCACACUGACCUGUGCCAUUUUGCUCUUUUCCAGGUGUGUUUUCCCAUCCUGCCUGAGCUGGGCACAGGGCAGCCCUGGGCUCUCCACUCAGGGCCUGCCUGGCAGCCCUGAAACACCACGGCCACUGCUCGGAGUCACCACAGGCCUCAGUGUCAAAAACACAGGCCUCACUGGAAAAAACUUAAAACAGAUUGAGGUGAUGGCAAAUGCUAUAGGUUCCUGCCACCACAAAAGCCACAGAGUGAGCCAGUUCUCCUGACCCCAGUGUGUGCAGGGAAGAUGCACUGAGAAGGAAAAAUACUGAUGGAAAAUACUGAUGGCAGACUUUUUCAGGAAGUCUAACAGCUCCAAAGUCAAAUAACCCAUGACACAGCAAAUCCCAGAUAGCUGCCUCUUCUAUGCCAACUUAAUGCCUCUUCUAGGUCAACUUAAUGUUAGUUGAGGAAAUUGUCUAUUUCUAACAAUUUUACAGCACGAAUUGCCAUGGACAGACGGACAACCCAUGAUGCAAGCCAUCUCCUCUUCAAAAUUAGUCAGUUGAGGUUAUGGACAGGCUUCAAAUCCCUGCUUUUUCAGCUGAGCCACAACAGGUUCCAAGGCUUUGGCACAUACCACAAUAGACACAAAAAGAGUGGGGGGGCUCUUUAUACUGACUACUAAAGAGGUGAGAAAUUUCCUUAUAAAUAAUUAUAGAAAUCAGACAUUUUUUAUGUCACCUGCUAAGCACUUUAAGAAAACAAAGACAGUUUUUUUCUCUGGAAAAGAAAGCCUGAGAACGCCAAGUCUUUCCUUAUCUAUUUAAAAAUGCCUCAUCUCACCUGUUCCAUCUUAAAGCGAUUCACCAUUUUCAAAUGCAGGAUUUGACUGUUGUUUAGCCUUUUGGGGCAAAUUGUUCUCAAAUCCUUAGCACCAGUGAACCUGAAGAUCUGACCAGUCCUGCUUGGACUGAGAACCAGCUGUGUCCCAAAAGGUACUUUUCCUUUAGAAGCUACUUUUCCUUUACUGGCUCUAAACCUUCACCAGCAAAAAGGGAGAGAGAUCUGUCUUCCAAAGAAGAACACCAGGAUCUCUUUCCUUCAGCUUAAUUUUCACCUAAGAACUAAGGAUUAUGUGUUCAGUGAAUCACAGCUGUCCAGACACAAAGCCAAGCAGGGAGACAAACGCAAAGGGGUUGCCUGUUUUGUCCCAGAACUUGGUGAGGUGUUGGGAGCACCCAAGACAGAAAAAAAACUACAGAAGACCUGCCAGGUCCUGCUUUGGGUGCAGCACAAAUGGCACUAUCUCUGCCUGCUGGCAAGCACCCGGGCACAGCACCAGUCCUGAGGGACCCCAGCACUGCCCAGCCCUGCGUGCACACAGGGGACAGCUGCUAGAGGACACUGCUCCAGCCCCUCUGCAGAGCAGGUAACACUGCAAGGACACACAGGGACACUUUAGGUCUCUUGGCACUCAGGCCCCACUCAGAUAUGGCAACUUCAAACAAGAAUUUUACAGGAUAACAUUAGAUAAUGAUUCUGCAAAUGCAUCAUCUGAGAAAGCUGUAGUUUCAAGCUAAAGAAACACCAGCCUAAUCUAUACAUCGCUGGUUUCAUCAACACAGUAAGAACCCAAGAAUAAAUUAAAACUUUAGAUACAGAAGGGACUCCAAUUUAAUAUAUGUCACAAAUACAUUACAAAAGGGCACAAAAGAGGCUUGGUGGAGCAUAACUGCUGAAUUUCCUUACUUAACUUGUUGAAUCGAAUUUCACGGUGAGAUUUUCAAAGAGAGCCCAGUCCUCACAGGAAACAUGACAGAGCUUCUAUGGAAAUAACUGUAUUAAAUCUAUCUUUUCACAUAUGAAAAUAUAUUCAAAUUUCUGUUGGGGGCAGGGGCCUUGUUUAGUACACAACAACUGCAUCCAAAAAAAUUUAAUUUUUCUUUUAAACAUCUGCUUCAAUACCAAACUUCUAGAAUGGAUUCCUUCCACAACUUUAAGAAAACUAUUUAUACUGAACUUAUUACCUCACACAGGAAAAUGCAACCUGUACUUAAAAAUUUGAGAAAGAGUUAGUUUCCUGUUAGACAUCAACUAGUUAACACUGACAGAAACUUUUACAAGAGUAACAAGACAAUUAAUGGAAGAUCUUCCCUGGUAGCAGACAGUGUGCUUUGAACACAAUUGCUUCAACCAGUGCAAUCACUCAUUACUGAGGAUGACUCAACCCUCUCUAUGGAGCAUGACAUCUGUGAUUAUUAUUGAUAAAUACAUCCUUGUCCUGGGCUGAGUUUACAAUUUAUUUCAACAGGAAAGGAAAACAUUUUUGAAGAUUAAAUUAUACCAGUUCUGUCUCCAUGUGUUCUGGAUUAUAUGCACUUGUGCAGUCCCAAAGGACAUGCUGCAAAAGAUAGUUAAAUGAGGACACAUAUUCAUGAAGGAUUAGAUCCAGAUGUGGUCACCACUGCUUAGCAACCAAGGGGACAUGAUGACAGAGGAAAAUCCUCCAUCCAGAGCUCACCCUGCUCCACCUACAAAGCAGCAAGCUAUCUUUCACAGCAAAUUAGGAGAAAUAUGUUUUCUUUGUUACCGCAGAGGUACCCAGUGGGACCUCGUAUGUAGCUUCAUGUGAGACGAAUUUUCUCUCCUUAGUGGAUGCACAGGAGAGAACUUAAGCUGGAGGAGAAUCUGAAACUUGUCGGUGAAAAAGCUCCCCAAAUACUAAUGCCAGGUAAAUAAAUACAUAAGUAAAUAUAAGGAAAAGAAAAAAAAAAAGAGGAGAGAAAGCUCCGAUACCGCGGGGAUGGCAAAGAGAAAAGCGAAGACAAGAGACUUAGCCGAGCACCCCACCUACUUCUACUCAAGUGCUCCAGCCCACCUCCAGGGAGAGCCCAGGCAGCUUAGACCCAAGUCCGGGCAAGACCCCCGCCAACGCGCCGGCGGAACGCCGCACUCACCUCUCCCAUGCCACAGGUUUAAUUGUACUUGCACAAUUUAUACUUGAAAAUGAAAGAGAAAUUUGUUCUUGAAAUCAAAAGCAAAACUUCCAUAAUGAGAUUUUUCAGAGGACCAUACUAUGAAGAAACAAAAUUAUUACUUCAAAGAAAGUGGCUAUUUUCUAAAUUAAAGACUUUGUUACUUGUCUACCUGCUGCAGUUAUUUUGUGCUGUUUGGCAAAAUAAACCACCUCUACUAAGCCCACUAAAUCAUCUUGGAAUCACCAGGACUGUGUGCUCACAGUAUCCAUCAGAGGGCACCCUCACCUAACAACAGAACGUAUUUCAAGAAAGGCCUCUCUAAAAGUUUCAGGAAGGAAGAAAACCCUCUGGAGACUAUAGUGAAAGAAGAAGUUACCAAAUGCCCAUCCCUGGCAGUGUUCAAGGCCAGCUUGGAGGGGCUCUGACCUGGUCUAGUGAGAGGUGUUCCUGCCCAGGGCAGGGGGGAUUGGAACUAUAUGAUCUUAAAUGCAAACCAUUCUAUAAUUCUAUGACUGUGAUUCCAUGGAAAGUAUUUACCAGCAUUGUCCAUACGUUACACUGAAGGUAAGACAAGAUGUGCCAUUCCUUUGUAGCAAACCAGUAAACACAUUGCCAAGUUCACUGUGGAUCACAGAAUGGGUGAGGCUGGAAGAGACCCUGGAGGUCAUCGAGUCCUGAGCUCAACCUGCCUGCUCAAGCAGGGUGCCCCAGAGCACACUGCUAGGAUUGUGUCCAGACAGCUUUUGAAUAUCUCUAGAGAAGGAGACUCCACAAUCUCUCUGGGCAACUUCCAGGGCACAGCCACCCUCACAAUGAAGUUCCUCCUUGUGUUCAGGUGGAACUUCCUGUGCAUCAGUUUCUGCCCACUGCCCCUUUUCUUACCGAUGGGAAUUGCCAAGCAGGGCUUGGAUCCAUCCUCCUGACAGCCUCCCUUGAGACAUUCACUGACAUUGAUGAGGCUCCCCUCAGUCUUGUUCAGGCUGAACAGGCCCAGAUCCCUCAGCCUUCUCUUGAGUGAGGUGCUCCAGACCCCUGCUCACUUGGUAGCCCUUUGCUGGACCUGCUCCAGAACCUCCAUGUCCCUCUGGUCCUGAGGAGCCCAGAACUGGACACAGCACUUCAGAUGUGCCUCAGCAGGGCAGAGUAGAGGGGCAGGAUCAGCUCUCUUGAGCUGCUGGCAAUGCUCUUGCUAAUGCACCCCGGGACACCGCUGCCCUCUUGGCCACAAGGGCCCUGCUGGCUCAUGGACAGCUGGCUGUCCUUCUCCUCAGAGCUGCUUCCCAGCAGGUCAGCCCUCAGCCCGUGCUGCUGUGUGGAGUUAUUCCUCCCCAGGACAGGGCUCUGCAUUUGCUUUUGUUGAAUUUCAAAAGGUUCCACUGUUUUUUCUGAUUUUGCCAAUCUGUAGUUAGAUCUACAGAGAUAUUGCAUUCACUCUGUUUCUUUCCUUAAAAUGAAGUCUGAUAUGUAGCCAUUGCCUUGUCUAUGUCCCUGUAAAUUUAGAAUCUGAUAUUACAGAUGUAGUUGCACUGAGGAGUACAUGAUUACUCCUGAUUUAUGUACUGUAGCUAACUUUUGAGAAGAGACUUCUGCCAUUUCUGUGAAAUACCAAAGGGAGCCUCUCUUAAUCACUCCCUGAUGCACUUCUAUUGAAUAGCAGUAGUUCAAACAAAAACAUCACUGAUUUAAGAAAAAAAUGAAAAAACUGACAAUCAUUUCCAUGCCUUGAAUCACAGACAUAAUUAAUAGAAAACUUUAAAUAUGUGAAUAGAACAGUAAAUGUAAUGAAUUUUUUUACAUAAGAAUGAAAUUUAAUUACUUGAUCUUGAACUGUUCAUUAAUUUUUAAUCAUAACUUUUAGUGUCAGAGAUUGUUUUGUAUUGUUUCCAGAAGAUGCAGGUUGUCUCUGAUGAAUUUUAGGAAUAUAAUUAUCAGUUUUUAAUGGAAAAUUGUUUUCAUCCAAGCUAAUAAACCAUUAAGGAUUUUUAAUUCCAAUUUCUGCCAUUUGCUGCCAGAAAAUGUGUCAAAUGAAAGGAAAUUCAUGUUCUGAUGUGUUAAGCUGGGCAACAGUUUCUUUAGAUGGUUGUUUUACCUUUUCUCACUUUUUUUUUAGCAGAGUACUUUUAAUUACUUUUCUAUGUCUUAAUAUUUAUUUAACCUGAUUUCUUUUCCACAUUCUGCUCUCAUUAGACUAAGGUCAGUUACUUAAAUGACCCAAAUCAAAUAGAAGUGAAAAUCAGAACUACUUAGAAACAUAUCCACUAGCAAAAAAUGGUAUUUAUUUACUAACAAUACUUACUAUACUAAUAUUUAUAAUAUAAUAUAUAAUACUUACUAUACUAAUAUUUAUAAUUCUAAGACCACCAUCUUUUCUAGACUCCUUGAUAAGUUUCCCUCUUGCUACAGGAAUAAAAAAGAACUAGCUGUAGCUCUUCUUUCAGCGCCAAAAAUAAGUAAGUUUUAGGGAACCUUGAGUAUUUUAGGAGUAUUUAAAACGGGAAAAUUUAUCUACAAUGAGUAAGACCAGCAGCAAUGAGACACCUGAGACUCAAAAAUUUGUAAUAGAUGACACUCUGUGUUGUUCUGUAUAUUUUGUUUCCAUCAUCAUCUUUGUUAAAAAAUAUGACUAUUAACACCUGGUAGACAACCACAUGUGCAAUACAGUAUUUACAUUAAAAGGAAAAAAAUACU